rnacentral:tRNA from 1 species
GGAGAAAUGGCUCAGCGGUUAAAAGCAUUGGCUGCUCUUCCAGAGGAUCCUGGGUUCAAUUCCCAGUAUCUACA